AAGCCUCAGCAGAUCAUCUCAGCACCCACCUGAGCUUAACUGAUCUCUUUAAGCUAAGCAGGGCUGAGCCAGAUCAAUACUUGGAUGGGUGAGCAUCAGAGAAUUCUAGGGCUGAAGCCUA
rnacentral:rRNA from 1 species